AAUCUUUGACGAGUAAACGGUUAGUUUCAGCAGCAGAUUUUUUUUCAAAUGAAAGCAAAAGUAACGUUUCCCAUAAAUGUUGCCUUGUAGACGAAAAAUUCCAUGCAAUAAAAACAAUGUUGCUAACACUUUGGCAAAGUGAAAUGUACCAAAUUUUUAAAAUUGUCGACAGUCCUGCCACUUAUCAAACCAACUACAUAUGCUUAUUUGUAUAUGACGUUAUAAUAAUAGGACAGGAAUUGAGUAUUAUGGGAGGGAAUUACAAAUAUAUUUCACUUGCUAGAUUAUGUCCUUAAUUUUAAAACAAUAUUUCUUUUUUAGUUAGGGGGUUUGAUAUUAGACAAAGAGAUUAGAUCUUUGGCCGCUUACCUUACGACUACUACGUCCUGGUCAAUAAGAGACAAGUUUGCAAGGCUAACGCAAAUAGCUACAGUACUAAACUUGGAGAAGGUUUCCGAAAUAUCUGACUAUUGGGGUAACGAAAGUUCUUUGACUUGGAGAUUAACUCCGACCGAACUGAGGAGUAUAAUGUCUUUAAGAAUCGACUUUAAAAUAGAUGAAAUCAGGAGAUUAAAAUUGUAAAAAAAGGCAAGUGAUGUCAUUUUUCACAGUUUAUUUAUGUACAUAUUAGUUUUAUAUAUAUAAUUGUACAUGUUGUGCUGUUGGAAUAAAUACAUAUACAGCU